rnacentral:rRNA from 1 species
UUUAACGGCCGCGGAAAAAUAACCGUGCAAAGGUAGCGCAAUCACUUGUCUUUUAAAUGGAGACCUGUAUGAAUGGCUGAACGAGGGCUUAGCUGUCUCCUUUUUCUAAUCAAUGAAAUUGAUCUCCCCGUGCGGAACGGGGGAUAAAUACAUAAGACGAGAAGACCCUGUGGAGCUUUAGAUUAUAGACAGACCAUGUAAAUAAACCUACCCUAAAUAGAAUAAACUUAUUGGCUUACUGCUCUUAUGUCUUUGGUUGGGGCGACCGCGGGGUAAUAAAAAACCCCCACGUGGAAAGAAAGAAUCCUUUCACAACCCAGAGUGACAACUCCAAGUAACAGAAAUUCUGACCAAGAAUGAUCCGGCAAUACCGAUCAACGAACCAAGUUACCCCAGGGAUAACAGCGCAAUCCUCUCUUAGAGCCCUUAUCAACGAGGGGGUUUACGACCUCGAUGUUGGAUCAGGACAUCCUGAUGGUGCAGCCGCUAUUAAGGGUUCGUUUGUUCAACGAUUAAAGUC